UUCCUUUCUUCUCUCCAAUCAUUUCUCUAAUUUUUUUCUUAUAUUUUUAUUUUCUUUUAUUUUCUCAUGGUUUCUGGCGACAGAAAAGGAAGUAGAUGAGUAGAAGAAAUAAAUUUCUCAGCUUCUACGAAACUAUUUUUUUUAUUGAUCUAUCUUCAGUCGUUGCUUAUAAAUUAUGUUAUCUUGAUCAAGACAAAACUCUGCUUGAAUUUUGCCAAUCAAACACCUCAUCAUCUUUAAUUGAUUCUCUUUAACUGCUACUAUAUGUUCAUUUCUCGUUCUGUCCUGAAGGUGCACACUCUUUCUUUAUUAAUCAUUUUUUAAUUAUUAUUAUUAUUCUGUUUGUGGUCAGUUGAAGUGACUGUUUGAUGAAGUAGGCGAUGAUGUUGUAAAUUUUACUAAAUUCGAGAUUUUGGAAUUGUGUUGACAUGCUAUGAAGUGGAUUUUUUGUGCUAAAUGAGUUGAUUAUCUUGAUAUAAUUAUGUUUUCGUUAUGUUUGAUGUUUUGUUGUGUGGUUUGAUCAUUCACGAAGGAGGAUGUUGACAGUUGACUUUGCAGCUGCUGUUACUAGUUCUGCUUGAUUUUCAUGAGCUGCGUAAUUUUGGUACUGUUUUUGUUUGUUUAUUGGUUUCUUGGUAUUUGUUAUUUUGUAUCCAUUUAAUUCUCUGCUUGACGAUGAGUAUUGUAUGUUUGAUCAUAUAGAAGAUAUGCGUUUGUGUGCAUACAGAGAAAGAGAAAUGUUCAAUAGGUGUAUUGCGAUUGACAUCUUUGCUUAGUACGAUUGUCUUUAUACUAUUCAAUGCGUAUUAACCUAUAUCUGGGUUCUGAAUGGCUUUCUAAUGGCCUCAAUAAAGUUUGGUUAUAGCUUAAUUUUCAGCUUUCUUUUGCUGACCAUUUUGUUGCAGAAAGAGAUUCAAUGGAACAACAUUUGAAGGAUUCAGUAUUGGGUCCUUCUGGAGGUUCAUUCAAUAUACCAUCAUUGACUAUUCCUAGAGUGGCAGCAAGUGGUGUGUGGGGAAUCCCAAGUGGAAGAGAUGCAUUUCUUGCAUCAAAUGAUGCAAGCUUGUUUUCUAGCUCUUUGCCUGUCCUUCCUCAUGAAAAAUUGAACUUUCAUGAUUCAGAGGAUCAAGGUCAACCUGUUGAUGAUAGCUCACCAAAUAUAAACAAGGUUGACCUUGAAAAUGGCGUGAAGGAUCCACUUGAAGAUGUUGAACCAAAUGCAGUUGGAACCAUGCUUCCUGAUGAUGAAGAUGAGCUUCUUGCUGGCAUAACAGAUGAUUUUGAUCUAAGUGGGUUGCCUAGCCAAUUAGAGGAUUUAGAAGAUUAUGAUCUGUUUGACAGCGGAGGGGGGAUGGAGUUGGACUUUGAACCUCAAGAGAGCCUUAGGUUUGAGAUAUCAAAGCUUAACAUAUCUGAUGGGAUCACUGGAAAUGGAAUUGCUCACUAUCCUUUCUCUAAUGGCGUGGGAACUGUGGCUGGGGAACAUCCAUAUGGCGAGCAUCCUUCAAGAACAUUAUUUGUUCGAAAUAUCAAUAGCAAUGUUGAGGACACUGAAUUGAGGUCUCUCUUUGAGCAAUAUGGGGAUAUCAGGACUUUAUACACUGCAUGCAAACAUCGGGGGUUUGUGAUGAUAUCUUACUAUGAUAUUCGAGCUGCUCGGACUGCAAUGCGUGCAUUACAAAAUAAGCCUUUAAGACGAAGAAAACUGGAUAUUCAUUUUUCAAUUCCUAAGGAUAAUCCCUCAGAAAAGGAUAUAAAUCAGGGGACUCUUGUGGUGUUCAAUUUGGAUGCUUCUGUAUCUAACGAUGACGUUCGUCAAAUUUUUGGGGCAUAUGGGGAGGUCAAAGAGAUUAGAGAAACACCACACAAGCGACACCAUAAAUUCAUUGAGUUUUAUGAUGUUAGAGCUGCCGAAACUGCCCUCAGAGCAUUGAAUAGGAGUGACAUAGCUGGAAAACGCAUAAAGCUUGAACCUAGCCGCCCUGGUGGAGCACGUCGAAAUUUGAUGCAGCAACUAAGUCAGGAGCUGGAACAAGAUGAGGUCCGAGGUUUUUGGCAUCAAGUAGGCUCACCGGUGACUAACUCUCCCCCAGGUAACUGGGUGCAAUUUAGUAGCCCUGUUGAACAUAAUCCUUUGCAUAGUAAGUCUUCUGGUUUGGGAACAAUGAAUCCUAUUAAUGGUAACCAUUUGCCUGGGUUGGCAUCUAUUCUCCCACCUCAUUUGUCUAAAUCUGGAAAGAUUGCUCCAAUUGGCAAGGACCAAGGAAGAGCCAAUCACACAAACCAGAUAUAUAGUAACACUGCGCCAGUGCAAGGAGCACCCUUUCAGUAUUCUCAAUCGUUUCCUGAACAGAAGUUGAGUGUGAGUCCUGGGCCUAUAUCUGCUUUUGGUGAAUCAAAUUCAAAUUCUUCUGGUGUUGGAACUUUGUCUGGUCCUCAGUUUUUAUGGGGAAGUCCCACGACUUACUCUGAGCACUCCAGUUCUUCUGCUUGGCCGACAUCACCAAUGGGGCACUCAUUUUCAUCUAGUGGACAGGGACAGGGCUUUCUGUACAGUCGGCAUGGAUCAUUUAUUGGCUCACGUCAUCACCAUCAUGUUGGAUCUGCUCCUUCUGGUGUGACCCUUGAUAGACAUUUUGGAUUUUUCCCAGACUCACCUGAUACAUCCUUUGUGAACCCAAUUAGAUUUGGGGGUAUGGGUGCAAAUCACAAUAAUGGAAGUUAUGUGAUGAACAUUGGGAGUCCUGUUGGUGGCCUUCCUGGAAAUGUGGCUGAAAAUGGUUCACCUAGUCUUCGAAUGAUGUCACUGCCAAGACAUGGUCCUAUGUUCCUUGGAAAUGGUUCUUUUGCAGGACCUGCAACUGCAACUAAUGAGGGAUUGAUGGAACGUGGUCGGAGUAGGCGAGUUGACGGUAGUGCAAGCCAGAUUGAUAGCAAGAAGCAGUAUCAGCUUGAUUUGGACAAAAUUGUUAGUGGGGAAGAUACUAGAACCACUUUAAUGAUUAAAAACAUCCCUAAUAAGUAUACUUCAAAGAUGUUGCUGGCUGCCAUUGAUGAAAAUCACUGUGGUACUUAUGAUUUUCUCUAUUUGCCAAUUGAUUUUAAGAAUAAGUGCAAUGUGGGUUAUGCCUUCAUCAAUAUGGUUUCUCCUUCACACAUCAUAUCCUUCUAUGAGGCAUUUAAUGGGAAGAAAUGGGAGAAGUUCAACAGUGAGAAAGUUGCAUCACUGGCAUAUGCCCGAAUCCAAGGCAAGGCUGCUCUUGUGACACACUUCCAAAAUUCAAGCCUAAUGAAUGAAGACAAACGAUGCAGGCCAAUUCUCUUCCACUCAGAGGGCCAAGAGACGGUUGAUCAGGAACCCUUCCUUUCUGGCAAUUUGAAUAUCUUUAUUAGACAACCAGAUGGGUCUUAUUCUGGUGAUUCCUUGGAAAGCUUAAAGGGUAAUCUUGAUGACAAGCCAGAUAAGAUUUAACAGAUCAUUGAAAUUCUUACUCUGGGCCAAAAGGAAGUGGCUUGGAGUGCUGACUGUUUCAUAGGUUCAGCGCUCCAAUCACGGGCUCUCUAUAUAUUCACUAAAAGGCAGAAAUCAUUUUGUUCAUAUUUAGAUCAACAAAUUGUUCUUGUACCAGCAGAGUUGGAAGCAUAUUGCUGGGAAUCGAAGUAAUUGCUGACUGAUUUGUGGCUGAUUACUCUUCUGAGGUAUGAUCUGUUUAGGUUUUAUUUUUCUAUUGGAUCAAUUUCUGUCCAUCUGCAAAUAUGAUCACAUGUUUACACUAGUAAAUAUCUAUUCGGAGAGGUGUAGGAUUACGUGGUGCUUACAAAAUUGUAUAGGCUAAAAAGACACCGCACUGUGUUGAUUAUGUAGCUAAGAAAACGUGUAUUUGACGAGAUAGAAGGUUUGUACAGAUAUUCCAUCACUUAUGAUUAGAACAUCUAUUGCUAUGCAAAAGUGCACCAAUUAUUUGGGUUAGUAAUAA